rnacentral:lncRNA from 1 species
AAGGUUUAUGGUUUAGAGGAAAUAACACGGUUAAAGUUUUAGUUUUGAAAUUUAGAGUUUGUGGCGAAAUUGUCAGGGUUUAGGAAAAAUCAGGGUACUCAGUUAUGAAAAAAAUGUGCAGAUCUAAAUAUAUGUAUAUAAAAAAAAAACAUAUGAACAUGUAUUUGAAACACAGUAACAAAUAUAUCAACAAAAUAGAUAAAGUAUAUAUCAUAUAUAAA